rnacentral:antisense_RNA from 1 species
GCUACAGCCCUCGACCUACAGCCUUCCAGACCUUCCCACCGUACGGCGGGAGAGUGGGGGUAACCUCAAGCCCACUUGAAACCAGUCAGUGCCAAGUGGGCGGCCGCGCAGCCCCCUUCCGGCGCCCAGUUUGCGGUCCGACUCCGCCGCGCCUUUCCGCUGGAGCCCGGGCCUUGUGCCAGCCUGGCUGACUGUGCCACGAGUUACCUGCUUGUCUCGAGUGAAGAAUAGCGCUCCGGCAAAACCUGGAGGCAGCGCUGGAAAAAUCGCACGUGCCGAUCCCGUAAGAAAUCCAGCCGCUCUCCCUCACCGCUCCCUGCUAGCCUCUCGUCGUCAGUGGCCGCCAUGCUGCUCCGGAAGCGACGUCCGCCGCGACCCGGAAUCAGUGCCCGCGGAGAGAAAGAAUCCCCCUGUGCUGAACCAGAGGGGCCGGGUUAGGGGACCUGCGCCCGCCGCAGACUAAGCCAGUAUUUGAAACCGCUAUCAUCUGGGUCCUGUGCAGCACUUCCACUCUCCGAUAUCUCCCUAGCUAGCGCAUGACCCUACCUUUUCUACUCAAAGCCCUCGAGGCUUGUAAACACCUCGCAGGCCUUGUGAAAAUCAAGUCCACAAAUCCCUCCGUCAGAAUUUUUAUCUUGGGAAGCGCAAGGUCAAAAGCAUCAAGUACGCUUUGAGACAAUUCUGGCUCUGUAGAACCUGAGGAUGGUAUAUCUGAAAACGAGGAUGGAUCAGUAUAAACUUGCUAACAGAUUCAUUUUUGGAGGGCCAGUUUUAAGCCGAACGGUUAGGGAAACAGAAAAACAAACCAGUGGAGAUAAAUGUUUAUUGACACUACAAAAGCUCAGAGACUUUCCUAAUCUUAAUCCUUUCUGGAUACCAGGAAUCACUUAAAAAUCUGUGUAUAAUGCCCCCAAACAUAUACAACAUGCAUAUUCAUACCUAU